UGUCUUCCCAACCGAUUGGCCGAC
rnacentral:siRNA from 1 species